rnacentral:rRNA from 1 species
AACGAACGCUGGCGGCAGGCCUAACACAUGCAAGUCGAACGGUUGUAGCAAUACAGCCGUGGCGCACGGGUGAGUAACGCGUGGGAAUCUGCCCAGUAGUACGGAAUAACAGUUGGAAACGAAUGACAAUACCGUAUACGCCCUUCGGGGGAAAGUUUUUCGCUAUUGGAUGGGCCCGCGUCUGAUUAGCUAGUUGGUGGGGUAAUGGCCUACCAAGGGGACGAUCUGUAGCUGUUCUGAGAGGAAGACCAGCCACACUGGAACUGAGACACGGUCCAGACUCGUACGGGAGGAAGCGGUGGGGAAUAUAGGACAAUGGGCGACAGCCUGAUCCAGCCAUGCCGCGUGAGUGAUGAAGGCCUUAGGGUUGUAAAGCGCUUUUGGCGGGGAAGAUAAUGACGGUACCCGCAGAAUAAGUUCCGGCUAACUUCGUGCCAGCCGCCGCGGUAA